CUCACAGCACGUCACUAAACACUGAUCAUUUUCAGCGACUCCCCAGCCUCGAGUGUUCGGAGCAUUACUCUGCCUGAGGACCUUCAGGCAGAUGUGCUGUCUUUAGGAAGCCGGGAAAGGUGGAGGCUUCCCAUCGUCACGUUGCAGGAUUUUUCAGGUGUCUGUGACUCUGAAGCCAGGGUGCAGUUGAGAGAAAGCAAAAAGGCAACACUGCCCCCCCAGGUUGAAGCUGGACCUGCAGGCUGCCUCUGUUUCCCCCCUCUGCUGCUUCUCUCGGCGAACGCUACAAAAACAUUGCGUUGGUUUUCGAGGGGAAGCAAGGACAUAGGCUGGUCGCAGGUGCAGCGUGUCCUCAAGGAAGGAGCAGGGAACACUCACGCACUUAAGGAUGGCAUAAUGAGAACGAAGAAAGGCUGAAAAGACAACAGAGACUCUCGUCUCCCCAUCAGUCUGGGAGCUUCUUCCUCUGCAGCAAAGUGGGUCGGGGAACUACAAAGAAAGACAUCAAAGAGGGAAAAAAAACAAAUGUGGGAAGAAUGUCACCUGGCAAUCCAGGAACUAUAGUUUAUGAGCCCCUCUCAGAGGACACUGCCACCUGCUGGCUGCUGCAGUGUACAGCUUCGGUGUAGUCUUCCAAUUUGACAUGCGGCACAUGGAGCUGGACGAUCCAUUUGACAUUUGCACUUUGAAAGCAACUCCAAGCCACCAGGUCUGCCCCCCCCCCCCCACCCACUGCACUGUCUCCAUAUGGUUUGUGUAACUUCUGUAAUUAAAGUCGGAAAUCAGAAUUCGCCAAGGGGUCAGAGGUCAAGUUCAGGAACACAAACUCUCCAGCUCAAUGCCUCCUAGAUGACAUAAGGCAUGACAUAAACCUGAACUUUGCACAUUGCCAACGUGCUGAAAUUCAUAAAUGGAAAUGAGUCGCAUUGUAUGAAAAAUUGUAGCAAAACAGUGCAUCUGUUUUACAAUUUAGGAUAAUGUGCCUUAUUACCUUAUUCUGUAGUGGAAAACAGUCCCCUGAUAGAGGUGCAAUUUCAGUGUUUUAGGCUAUAGCUAGAUAAUAUUUAAAGACUUCCAGGUCUAAAGCUUACAGCUUGUGAUGCAAAGCAGCCCGAUAUCAGUGAUAAUCAGACAACAGGAAAGACUGAUAAUAUUGUUAAAAAAUGGCUGUUUAAAACAUGACACAUCACUACAUCAGUACCUGCUGGUAUUCUCCAUAAGCUUGUUCAAAAACAGCAUUUGAAUAAGACUUAUUUGUUGGCUGAAAGAGAUCAAACGUAGAACCUUUCAAGGCAAUGAUAGCAUGUCUUUCAUGCAUCGUACAUCACAAGCAGGACUCUGCUCCGAGAUCUGGAGAAAAUGGAAUAUUUAACUGCAAGUGAUCAUAAUCACAUUGACUAUUUCAAUUAAUAAUUUUGUCAGUUGUUACCAGGAACCAACAAUGGACAAUGAAAACCAAAAGCUGGAUUGCAGAGUGUGAGUGUAAACGGCCAUUUCGUAAAACGUGCUGGUGAGAAAUGUCUCAGCAGAAUGAGAAUCAUGACAUGGGAACUGUAGGGUUUUUUUUUUUUUUAGAAAAAUUGGAACCUUGUGGGGGGAGGGGGGCAGAUUCCAUCCAAGUGAAACAUGAAAAUUACAAUAAAAAGAAAACAAUCUAAAGGACGAGGAAAUGAAACGGCAAGUGUUCCAGUUGCUGUCCCGAUUACCCUAAGACCAAUGAAAUUCACUAAUUUAGAGAUAAUGCAGGUCUGACAAAUGACAGCCAUCAACAGAGAAAGACCCGGUCACCUGACUCUCUUUUCAGCCCCCCCCCCCCCCCCAAAA